GGGACGCCAUAUUCGUGCGGUAGUAAACUGAUAGGUGUCAUUGUGACGUGCUAUCCAAGAUUGGGAUAUGAAUCACAGUUGAGAGCAACCUAAGUCAGUAAUUGAAAUACGUAGCUUUCUAUGCUUAGCUGGUUAUUAUCGAAGAUUUUGUGGAAAGAUUUUCUCGAAUCGCUACUCCAUUAACGCAGCUGACUCGUAGAGAUAC
rnacentral:lncRNA from 1 species